rnacentral:rRNA from 1 species
AUGGAGGCCACGGUGCUAAGCAUUGGCAAGUCCGUGCUGAAUGGAGCGCUUAGCUACGCCAAAUCUACUGUGGCAGGGGAGGUGGCUUUGCAGCUCGGAGUCCAGGGUGAUCAGGCUUUUAUCACUGACGAGCUUGAGAUGAUGCAAGCUUUCCUGGAGGCUGCACAUGAGGAGCGAGAUGACCACAAGGUGGUCAAGACCUGGGUGAAGCAAGUCCGUGACAUGGCCUACGACGUUGAGGACUCCCUCCAGGAUUUCGCUGUUCGUAUUGAAAAUUAUUCCUGGUGGCGCAUCCGCACGCUGCUAGACCGGCGCCGUGUAGCCAAAGAGAUGAAGGAUCUGAGAAUCAAAGUGGAGGAUGUGAGCCAAAGGAACGUGCGCUACCGCCUCAUCCGGCGCUCUGGCUGCAAGCCUACCUCCAAUGAUGAACAGUCUACCAUCAGCACCGAAGUACAACUUCAGAUCGCUGAGGCUACACGUGCUGCACUACAGGACAAGAAAAAGGUAGAUCUGGUCAAACUGAUUACUCGUGAUGAUGAUGUUCCUAGUGCUAUCGCAGUGUGGGGAUCAAGCAGCGAUGUUGGGGUGGCGUCCAUCAUUAGGGCUGCCUACAAUAAUCAAGAUGUAAAAUCCAAGUUUGAGUGCCGAGCCUGGAUGAGGCUCACACAUCCCUUCAAUCCAAAUGACUUCUUUGCAAGCUUGGUGAGGCAGUUUUAUGGGGAGUUGUGCAAAGACAAUGUUAAAAGAACAGGGUUGCAGGUUUUGAAGCAUAUGGAAUCACAAGAUAAUUUGGUUGAUGAGUUCAAUCGUUUUGUGACGGACAACAGAUAUCUCGUUGUUAUUAAUGAUGUCUCUACUAUAGAAGAGUGGGACUGGAUCAAAACAUACUUCCCGAACAACAAAGGAAGCCAAAUUAUUGUGUCCACUCAGCAAUUUGAAGUUGCAAGUUUAUGCACUGAGCAGCCUUACAUGCUAUCUGAGAUAGAGCAGAACUGGUCAAUCGACAAGGAAUUUUUUGCCUUCUAUAAGAAGGUGGACACUCGAACCGAAGAGGACGACAAGGCUGGAUCCAGCUCAACUGAACCUGAGAAGCUCACUCCUGCCAGUGCAAUGGCUGCUGCUUUGGUGGAAGGUGAACUCAUUGACCGAGUGGCAGCAAAAGCUAAAGUUAUGGAAUUACUUACUCCUGUAGGUAAUCAAGGUGGUGAGGUGAUUGCCAUUUAUGGAAUGGGCGGACUUGGAAAAACAACCCUCGUGAGAAGUGUGUACCAACAAGAACACGGCGACAGAUUUCAGAGGCGUGCCUGGUUAACUGUCUCACGUUCUUUCACCGAGCAGGAAUUUAUUGGGGACUUACUCCAGCAAUUUCUACGCAAUAAUGCAGAUAAAGGGGAGUUUGGCUGUGGCUCUGGCUCUGGCUCUAGCAAGGAGCCAAUUGUCCAGUUAGCAGAGAUUUUACUGGAACAUAAAUGCCUCGUCGUUUUGGACGAUCUGUGGUCUGUUGGGAAAUGGCGGUGGAUAAUGAAGCUCCUGCCGCCACCAAGAAAUGAUGGUCGUAACCGGAUCAUUGUUACCACACGAGAACUGAAUAUUGCUGAAAGUUGUUCUUCCAGAAAGGAGAACAUAUACAAUCUUGAACUCCUAAAUGAAACGGACGCUCGCAAGCUAUUUCAAAAGAAGGUAUUCAAGGAUACUAUGGAGAGAGAUAAUUGCAGUUAUAGUCCAGAUAUGAUUGAGCAAGAGAAUCUUAUACUGAAGAAGUGUGGUGGCCUUCCUCUUGCCAUAUCCACCGUAGGCAGCUUCUUGUCAAGCAAACCUAAAACAGCAAUAGAGUGGAGGAAUUUGAACAAACACAUUAGUGCCGAGCUCGAGGUCAAUCCAGAGCUUGGGAUGAUCAAGACAGUUCUCACCUCGAGCUACGAAGGUUUACCAUAUGUUCUCAAGCCCUGCUUCUUGUAUUUGUCAAUAUUUUCUGAAGACCAAGACAUCAGAUGGAAACGAUUGGUUAGACGGUGGAUAGCAGAGGGUUACUCAAGGGGGAUACGGGGCAUGACUGCAGAGGAAAUUGGGACCGGCUAUAUCACACAGCUUAUCAAGAGGACCAUGGUUCAACCAUCAAAAGGGGCAACCCGUAGGACUAGAAGGAUUGUCUUUUUGCAAGUUCAUGAUCUGAUACGUGAAAUUGGGAUCUCAAAGGCAGUGGAAGAAAACCUUGUCACUACACUGGAGGGAAGCUGCAACAUAAACACCGAAGGUAAAAUUCGUCACCUUGCUGUAAGCAGUAGCUGGAGACGGGAUCAGGAUGCUUUUGAGUGUGCACUGGAUUUAUCACGCUUAAGAUCCCUAACUGUAUUUGGAGCAUGGGAAUCAUUUUUCAUUUCUGAUAAGAUGAGAUUCCUCCGAGUGCUGGAUCUUGAAGACACAGAGGGUAUAACUGAUCAUGAUCUCCAUCAAAUUUGUCAGCUUUUUCUUCUGAGCUACCUCUCUCUACGAAGAUGUGAUGGUAUUUUACGUCUUCCAAAUUCAUUGGGUAACCUUAAGUUCCUGUAG